CCCACCACCUCGUCCCAGGCUUGGCUCAGUGUCCUGCUGAUGACCCGCAGCCUUGGGCUAUGACGCAGCAGGUUCCAUAACUGAACAGUUGCCAGGAGAACCAGGAAGCCCACAAGGUUGCAGCAACCAGGUUACUUGGAAGGAGGCCCACAGACACUAGCAAGUGGUGCUCUGCACAGAUCCGCUGUCCCUGCAUAAACUGCUCUCCAUAAGGCCUACUUGGAACAAUGCCUCAGGAAAAGUUACACAGAUCACCACCCAGGUUCUUGGCCACUGAUGCAAAGGUUAGCAAAGCAACACUUGGCAUGGGAAACAGAUAGAUGUUCCUCUCCAUGGGAAAAACCAGAGAAGGUGCUCAAAGAGACACCAAACAUCUCUUAGUACGGAUGAGUGAAUGGAUGAACAUCCCUACCCAGAAUGCAGCUCCCUUUGCAUUUAAAGGAUGGACUAUGUGUUGUGGUUUUAUUUAAAGAAUUAUUUGUUGUGCGUUAGGCUUUAUGCCUUCGCCAGAGGGCAAAAUAAUGACCAAUUCCAGGCCUUUCUGAAAUCUAAAUGUGUUAUCCUUAAGCACAUACCUAAGCACUAAUGACGGCAGAAGAGCUCUUCAGUGUAACUAGCAGUUAAAUGACUUCUAGUUCACUGUCUUCUCUGCUGUGGACAUGAGUCCAAGUUCUCUUUUAACUCUAAUAUUAUGCAAAUACAGAUCUGGUAGGGCAGUGAAGGAAGGGGAGUUUGAAAGAAUACUUGGGUAUAACCAGGAAACUUUAGACAUGAGGUAGGAAUAUGCUGUGCCCAUCAGGCUUCCUCUCACCUGUCCUGGUCAUCGUGGUAUCGUGCCAUGUUUUUCUUCUGUAGAGAAAUACUCUUCAUGUCAAGCCCCAGGAUGAUAAAGCUAAUGAGGAUUA